rnacentral:rRNA from 1 species
UACGUAGGGUGCAAGCGUUAACCGGAAUUACUGGGCGUAAAGCGUGCGCAGGCGGUUUUGUAAGACUGUCGUGAAAGCCCCGGGCUUAACCCGGGAAUGGCAUUGAAUACUGAUGGUCUGGAGGAUUGGAGGGGGGACUGGAAUUCUUGGUGUAGCAGUGAAAUGCGUAGAUAUCAAGAGGAACACCAGUGGCGAAGGCGAGUCCCUGGACAAUUCCUGACACUGAGGCACGAAAGCCAAGGGAGCAAACAGG